CCUACGGUGGGCAGCAGUGAGGAAUAUUGGUCAAUGGACGGAAGUCUGAACCAGCCAUGCCGCGUGCAGGAAGACGGCUCUAUGAGUUGUAAACUGCUUUUGUACAAGGGUAAACCUGAAUACGUGUAUUCAGCUGAAAGUACUGUACGAAUAAGGAUCGGCUAACUCCGUGCCAGCAGCCGCGGUAAUACGUAGGAGGCAAGCGUUAUCCGGAAGGACUGGGCGGAGAGGGUGCGUAGGUGGUUUGACAAGUUGGUAGCGUAACUCCGGGGCUCAACCUCGGCACUACUACCAAAACUGUCGGACUUGAGUGCAGGAGGGGCAAAUGGAAUUCCUAGUGUAGCGGUGGAAUGCGUAGAUAUUAGGAGGAACACCAGUGGCGAAGGCGAUUUGCUGGACUGUAACUGACACUGAGGCACGAAAGCGUGGGGAGCAAACAGGAUUAGAUACCCCUGUAGUC
rnacentral:rRNA from 1 species